CGAGAUACCAGACAAUGAGUCAUGUAUUAAAUGUUUCCUGGCUUAUGAUCUAAUGGCCGGAGAUCCUCAGCUUCAAUCAAUAUGAUAAGUGUAUCUUGGGUGGAUUGCUUCCUGGUUUCACUGUUUCGAUCAAAUGACAAUAAGCGAUGAAGCACGUCUUGUUCUUUAUGACUUUCAAGCUCAUGCAAGCUAUUCAAACUUCUUUGUGUAAACGUGACUAGAGAAUAUAAAUUCAAARACGRAUGAAGUUGCUCGAGAAACAGCCAUGAAAGCCAUAUUUUUUCACAUCUUUGCCCUGGUGUGUUUGUGUGGGUCGGCAACUUGUGGCAUUUUCGACGAUCCGAAGACUGUAACGAAAGCGAGAUGUUAUGCGAACUGCAUCACUUUGGUAUCACAAAUACCACAAAAUGAUUCAACCUGUCAAAGUACAGAAUGCCUACAGGUAA